rnacentral:rRNA from 1 species
UACGGGGGGGGCAAGCGUUGUUCGGAAUUACUGGGCGUAAAGGGCUCGUAGGCGGCCAACUAAGUCGGAUGUGAAAUCCCCAGGCUUAACCUGGGAACUGCAUCCGAUACUGGAUGGCUUGAAUUCGGGAGAGGGAUGCAGAAUUCCAGGUGUAGCGGUGAAAUGCGUAGAUAUCAGGAAGAACACCCGUGGCGAAGGCGGCUCUCUGGGACGGUACUGACGCUGAGACGCGAAAGCGUGGGGAGCGAACAGG